GGCUUUGGCUUGGACCUCCGUUCGGCGGGCUGGUCAGCAAAGUCCUCGGCGGCAAGCUCCUCCUCGAAGUCGGGGUCAUCACCAUCAGACGACGAGGGGAGUUGUGGAGACGGAGAACGUCGGGCAGUCCGUUUGAAGGGACGAUGUGGCUCAUCCGAGUCCGACCCCGUGGUGGGGGCGCGAGAUGAUGAGCCACCCACGGUCUUCCGGGCGAUGUGCUUGGUCUUGCCCAUGGAGCACAAAAACCUACGCGGAUGAAAAAUCUCCAAAUGAGGAACGAAUCAUGGAGAUACAUGGGAGAGAGAGAGAGGAGAACCAAAACAACCGCGAAAGGAGACGGAGGAACGACCUGAAGACGGAUCCCGCGAGGAAGAAAGAGGAAGAGGUGGAGGAUCCGCGGAGGAGAUCGGCCCGAUCUCGAGUUUGGCGGCGCAGGCGGGAGCUCCUCGAGCUGGCGGCGGCGGCUGUGGUAGGGAAAAGGGGCGCUGAGGGUUAGGGCAAGAGCCCAGCCCCCACGCCCAGCUAUAUAUAUAGGCCCGAGGC
rnacentral:lncRNA from 1 species